CCCUUAGAUGUUCUGGGCGGCCCGCGCACUACAUUGGCACUAGCAAAGAGAUUCUAGAUUGAAUUCUUUGGGGUAUUCUUCUAAAUGGUGUCGUGACUGGGAUAAAUCCUUGUAAUUAUUGGUUUUGAACGAGGAAUUCCUUGUAAUCGCGGUUUAUCAGCUCGCGUUGAAUGCGUCCCUGCCCUUUGUACACACCGCCCGUCGCUCCUACCGAUGGAUCGUCCGGUGAAGCUCACGGAGUGACUGUUCACGCAACGGUUUACGAAGUGAAAUGGACCUCACGAUUUAGAGGAAGGAGAAGUCGUAACA
rnacentral:rRNA from 1 species